CACUCCGUGACCUGUCGCCGGUGGGCUCGCCAGCUGCGAAGAAGAAGACAUGAUGGCAUACCCUUACUAUAAUAUUGUUACAUUGCAAAUGACUGCUUAAAUGGGAUAAUUAUAACUCGAGGCAGUCUGGUGUUAUAUGCUAAAGAAUCAGGUUUUAACCAUACAAUCACCAGAAACUAGAAAUGGAGGAUGCCCUUGAGCUUAGUUUAGGCCUCUCUUUGGGUGGUGGGUCUUCUGGGAAGUCUAAGGCAAGAUAUGCUUCUCUAGAGCCUAAGGCGGAACCUCAAGUGGAAGAGAGCAGUAGCAAAGGUGUCUCGCAACCUCCCGAUGCUCCUUUUGCGCAUUACUAUCAAGCAACUGCUGAGAACCAGUAACACAGUAGCAAGAAGAGGCAGAGCCCUGCUACCCCGCCAUUUGGGAACUUCUGGGGACAAUAUGGGGGCUCCUCUGCUCCAGUGGCAGAUGGAUCCAGUGAACUAAUGGCCCACCAAUCUCAGCUUCCCCAGUAUCAAGAGGGGCGGACUCCAAAUAAUAUUAGAAAUAAUUCUGAGGAAAACAUGCCAGUCUCAAGUAAAAGAAAGAUGCUUUCUGAAGAGACAAGUUUUCAUAAGAAGCAUCAUUCUGCUGUUGACUAGCCUGACGCAUUCAGUAAGAGCUCUGAAGGAGGUGUGAAAAAUGCACCAAUUUCAAUUAGCACAGAUGAUGGUUCAAUGGUGAAAAUGAGGAUGUUGCGGACUCGGAAGCAGAAGGCUCAACAGCGUGAAGACAGUGCCAAUGGCUCUGUGGUAAACAGCGGAUCUGAUAUAAAGAGAUCCAGUGAUGAUGCUACAGGUGGAUUCAAGGAAAGAGGGAACCGAGCUUUUCAGGUAGUGAAUCUAGCUCUGGAAAGUUGCCGCAUAGAAAUCCCUUGCAAGCAUCGAAUGUAGUGAUUGCGCAAUAUCAAGGCCAGACUCAGGUUUCGGCACCCCUGGGCAUAACUAAUGCACCAAAUUUUCCUCCAAUGUAUAUAGUGCAUUUGAGGCCACCCGUACACAAUGGACUAGCUAUCCAGACGAUGGGCGGUGCCUCCCAGGUUUCUUUUGGUUACCCAACAGGUCAGCUACCAAUACUUGAAACGAGCUCUUCAUGGGCAUUUGGUACUCCGCCUCAGGCUAUUUCUUCCUUUGCUGCAAAGCAAGCCGAAUGAGCAGGAGUCAAACAAGCUGAUGAUGGAAAGAAACCUCAAGGUUGGCACGUCCUCCUCUGCUCUUUUGGAGGAUGGUGGUAAGAUUGUCGAGAAGGUAUUGCCUCUCAUGGGCUCGGGCUCUGGUAUAAGGCCGGGCAUUGCCCCGAACAUCAAAUUCGGAGGGUCCGGAUCAUACCCUGAUCUUCCCUGGGUAUCCACAACCGGGACUGGACCAAAUGGCAGGACCAUAUUGGGCGUAACAUACAACUUCGGCAGAAACAAAGUGAAGAUCAUGUGUGCUUGCCAUGGCACACACAUAACGCCUGAGGAGUUCACGCGACACGCUAGCGUGGAUGCCACGGGCCAGGAGAACAACGCUACAAUGUCGGUGUUUCCUGUCGGGAAUCAAGCAGCCUCAGCCCAAAACUAAUUCGGCGGCUGCGUGCCGGUUUCAUACUGUGCUUGUUGUUCCCUUUGUGUCCAUAUCAUCAGUUCAGUAUAUUGUUGCUCUGUUGAUUCAAACCUUAUUGAUAUACAUUAUGUAGACAUGUGUCAUGUUGUAACUUUGGCUCCAUUGUUGUGAACGGAACUGAUGUAUUUAUUAUAGCUCCUUUUGUUUUUUCAAGGCAGAAUAAUACUCCCUCUGUUUUCAUUUAA
rnacentral:rRNA from 1 species